UGGGGGAUCGUAUAAUUGGCAGUACGGGUGACUCUGGAUCACUUAGUCGGGGUUCGAAUCCCUGUCCCCCAG
rnacentral:tRNA from 1 species